rnacentral:rRNA from 1 species
UACGUAGGGUGCGAGCGUUAAUCGGAAUUACUGGGCGUAAAGCGUGCGCAGGCGGUGAUGUAAGACCGAUGUGAAAUCCCCGGGCUUAACCUGGGAACUGCAUUGGUGACUGCAUUGCUGGAGUAUGGCAGAGGGGGGUGGAAUUCCACGUGUAGCAGUGAAAUGCGUAGAUAUGGGGAGGAACACCGGUGGCGAAGGCGGCCAUCUGGACGGAUACUGACGCUGAGACGCGAAAGCGUGGGGAGCAAACAGG